rnacentral:lncRNA from 1 species
AUGUCCUCUUUGCCCCAGUGUCCUAUGAAGAAGUGCCCAGGCCAACCCGCCUACAUGUGCCCGGGAUCUCUUCCCAUCUCUCCUGGUCUACUGGCUCCUUCACCCUUACCCAGCAUUCACUUGACCCUGCCGGCCCCCCAAGCCAUCCUCCCUCUCAGACUCCCAGAAGUUUCCUCCCUCCCCAAAGCCUUGGAAUCUGGCUUUGGACCUGCCUGUUGUCAGGUCACCACCAUCCUCUUUACUGCUGAUUCCAGUGGCAUUUCCAUCGUCCCCAACCCCCUUGCCAUCUCUCCUCCUUGGACGCCAUUGGUGCCUUCUCCUCCUGGACACUCCUUCCAGACUGGGGUCCUGCUCUGGCUCCCUUCUUCUCCUCCUUGGACGCCAUUGGUGCCUUCUCCCGGAUACUCCUUCCAGACUGGGGUCCUGCUCUGGCUCCCUUCUUCUCCUCCUUGGACACCUUUGGUGCCUUCUCCUCUUGGAUACUCCUUCCAGACUGGGGUCCUGCUCUGGCUCCCUUCUUCUCCUCCUUGGACACCUUUGGUGCCUUCUCCUCUUGGAUACUCCUUCCAGACUGGGGUCCUGCUCUGGCUCCCUUCUUCUCCUCCUUGGACACCUUUGGUGCCUUCUCCUCUUGGAUACUCCAUCCAGACUGGGGUCCUGCUCUGGCUCCCUUCUUCUCCUCCUUGGACGCCAUUGGUGCCUUCUCCCGGAUACUACUUCCACACUGGGGUCCUGCUCUGGCUCCCUUCUUCUCCUCCUUGGACACCUUUGGUGCCUUCUCCUCUUGGAUACUCCUUCCAGACUGGGGUCCUGCUCUGGCUCCCUUCUCCUCCUCCUUGGACACCUUUGGUGCCUUCUCCUCUUGGAUACUCCUUCCAGACUGGGGUCCUGCUCUGGCUCCCUUCUUCUCCUCCUUGGACACCUUUGGUGCCUUCUCCUCUUGGAUACUCCAUCCAGACUGGGGUCCUGCUCUGGCUCCCUUCUUCUCCUCCUUGGACGCCACUGGUGCCUUCUCCUCCUGGAUACUCCUUCCAGACCGGGGUCCUGCUCUGGCUCCUUGCUCCUCCUCCUUGGACACCUUUGGUGCCUUCUCCUCUUGGAUACUCCUUCCAGACUGGGGUCCUGCUCUGGCUCCCUUCUUCUCCUCCUUGGACACCUUUGGUGCCUUCUCCUCUUGGAUACUCCUUCCAGACUGGGGUCCUGCUCUGGCUCCCUUCUUCUCCUCCUUGGACACCUUUGGUGCCUUCUCCUCUUGGAUACUCCUUCCAGACUGGGGUCCUGCUCUGGCUCCCUUCUUCUCCUCCUUGGACACCUUUGGUGCCUUCUCCUCUUGGAUACUCCAUCCAGACUGGGGUCCUGCUCUGGCUCCCUUCUUCUCCUCCUUGGACGCCACUGGUGCCUUCUCCUCUUGGAUACUCCUUCCAGACCGGGGUCCUGCUCUGGCUCCUUGCUCCUCCUCCUCACUGCUCUUUCCCAGUGUCUGUUGCUAGGCUGUAUCCUUAUUCAUGCCAUACCAUCUCCCCUAGCUGUGGGUUCCCACCGAGGCUCUUCUCUGGGCCACCGUCCUGGCGAUUUCAUCUCCCGACUCCCCCAGCUGUUGAUGCUCCCCUCCAGGCCAGCUCCUUUCAUUGCCUCCAUUUGCCUACCUCCUUGUCUGCCCAUGAAGGGUCUCCCCCAAUGGGCGGGAAGCUCCUUGAGGCCAGGGGCUGCCAUCUUUGUCUUUCUGCACCUGGCACAGCACGUAGGACAAGUUGA